rnacentral:rRNA from 2 species
UUAAGCGACUAAGCGUACACGGUGGAUGCCCUGGCAGUCAGAGGCGAUGAAGGACGUGCUAAUCUGCGAAAAGCGCCGGCGAGGUGAUAUGAACCUUUGACCCGGCGAUGUCCGAAUGGGGAAACCCAGUGUGUUCCGACACACUAUCGUUAACUGAAUACAUAGGUUAACGAGGCGAACCGGGGGAACUGAAACAUCUAAGUACCCCGAGGAAAAGAAAUCAACCGAGAUUCCCCCAGUAGCGGCGAGCGAACGGGGAGCAGCCCGGAGUCUGAAUCAGCUUGUGUGUUAGUGGAACGGUCUGGAAAGUCCGACGGUACAGGGUGAUAGUCCCGUACACGAAAAUGCACAUGCUGUGAACUCGAAGAGUAGGGCGGGACACGUGGUAUCCUGUCUGAAUAUGGGGGGACCAUCCUCCAAGGCUAAAUACUCCUGACUGACCGAUAGUGAACCAGUACCGUGAGGGAAAGGCGAAAAGAACCCCGGCGAGGGGAGUGAAAAAGAACCUGAAACCGUGUACGUACAAGCAGUGGGAGCACCUUCGGGUGUGACUGCGUACCUUUUGUAUAAUGGGUCAGCGACUUAUAUUCUGUAGCAAGGUUAACCGUAUAGGGGAGCCGAAGGGAAACCGAGUCUUAACUGGGCGUUAAGUUGCAGGGUAUAGACCCGAAACCCGGUGAUCUAGCCAUGGGCAGGUUGAAGGUUGGGUAACACUAACUGGAGGACCGAACCGACUAAUGUUGAAAAAUUAGCGGAUGACCUGUGGCUGGGGGUGAAAGGCCAAUCAAACCGGGAGAUAGCUGGUUCUCCCCGAAAGCUAUUUAGGUAGCGCCUCGUGAACUCAUCUUCGGGGGUAGAGCACUGUUUCGGCUAGGGGGCCAUCCCGGCUUACCAACCCGAUGCAAACUACGAAUACCGAAGAAUGUUAUCACGGGAGACACACGGCGGGUGCUAACGUCCGUCGUGAAGAGGGAAACAACCCAGACCGCCAGCUAAGGUCCCAAAGUCAUGGUUAAGUGGGAAACGAUGUGGGAAGGCACAGACAGCCAGGAUGUUGGCUUAGAAGCAGCCAUCAUUUAAAGAAAGCGUAAUAGCUCACUGGUCGAGUCGGCCUGCGCGGAAGAUGUAACGGGGCUAAACCAUGCACCGAAGCUGCGGCAGCGACACUAUGUGUUGUUGGGUAGGGGAGCGUUCUGUAAGCCGUUGAAGGUGUGCUGUGAGGCAUGCUGGAGGUAUCAGAAGUGCGAAUGCUGACAUAAGUAACGAUAAAGCGGGUGAAAAGCCCGCUCGCCGGAAGACCAAGGGUUCCUGUCCAACGUUAAUCGGGGCAGGGUGAGUCGACCCCUAAGGCGAGGCCGAAAGGCGUAGUCGAUGGGAAACAGGUUAAUAUUCCUGUACUUGGUGUUACUGCGAAGGGGGGACGGAGAAGGCUAUGUCAGCCGGGCGACGGUUGUCCCGGUUUAAGCAUGUAGGCGGAGGUUCCAGGUAAAUCCGGUACCUUGUUAACGCUGAGGUGUGAUGACGAGGCACUACGGUGCUGAAGUGAUAAAUGCCCUGCUUCCAGGAAAAGCCUCUAAGCAUCAGGUAACACGAAAUCGUACCCCAAACCGACACAGGUGGUCAGGUAGAGAAUACCAAGGCGCUUGAGAGAACUCGGGUGAAGGAACUAGGCAAAAUGGUGCCGUAACUUCGGGAGAAGGCACGCUGAUAUGUAGGUGAAGUCCCUGCGGGCGGAGCUGAAAUCAGUCGAAGAUACCAGCUGGCUGCAACUGUUUAUUAAAAACACAGCACUGUGCAAACACGAAAGUGGACGUAUACGGUGUGACGCCUGCCCGGUGCCGGAAGGUUAAUUGAUGGGGUUAGCGGCAACGCGAAGCUCUUGAUCGAAGCCCCGGUAAACGGCGGCCGUAACUAUAACGGUCCUAAGGUAGCGAAAUUCCUUGUCGGGUAAGUUCCGACCUGCACGAAUGGCGUAAUGAUGGCCAGGCUGUCUCCACCCGAGACUCAGUGAAAUUGAACUCGCUGUGAAGAUGCAGUGUACCCGCGGCAAGACGGAAAGACCCCGUGAACCUUUACUAUAGCUUGACACUGAACACUGGUCCUUGAUGUGUAGGAUAGGUGGGAGGCUUUGAAGCGUGGACGCCAGUCUGCGUGGAG